ACUCCACGACCGAAACCGAAAUCCCAAAACGCAAAACGCCCAAACCCAAAUCAGAAACCCUAAAAUCAUAUUUCGGAUACUGUGGAAUUGAGGUGGCACACGGAUAGUGUGGAUCAGCUGUGUUGGGAUCCCAAGCUUGCUGAUUUGGUUGCCACUGCCUCCGGUGACAAAACCGUUCGGCUAUGGGAUGCGCGGACUGGGAAGUGUGCGCAGCUAGCGGAGCUUAGUGGCGAAAACAUUAACAUUACAUAUAAGCCGGACGGGACGCACAUUGCUGUUGGUAAUAGGGACGAUGAACUAACGAUUUUGGAUGUUCAGAAAUUUAAGCCAAUUCACAAGAGGAAGUUCAAUUAUGAGUAGCAACCUGAUACAUGAUUGAUCCUUUGAUUUACUCAUUCUUGAUUUGGAAUGGGGGAAACUAUCGAUGUAAGAGGAACCAAAAUAUGGCGGGCUAUCGAGAGUUGCGAGAGGAAGCAAGCUUAACUAGAGAGGCUGUGGGAUGAAAAGGAAAAAGUGACAAAGAAAUACAAACAAUUGAAGAUAAAACUGAAGAAGAAGCAAGAAGAGAUCAAAAACUAGAGAAACAAAUGCAAACAACUAAUGAUGAUGCAGCGUAAGAUAGAAGAAGGUGCUGCUGGGAAUGAAGAUAUUUUAGCUGUACAACUAGAGACCAACAUCAACAUACCUUAAUCUUCAUUAAAAUAUAGUACUUAUAUGUAAUAACUAAUAUUGAAUGUAAUAUCAUAUGCUACUGCUAUUGUUGAAUAUGCUACUGCUAGAUAUGGUACUGCUCAGAUAGCCAUAUUGCAUGACCUAAAGUUGUGGUGGCCAAGUUGAUCACUGAAAUUAAAUUUAUUCCUGUAAA